rnacentral:tRNA from 1 species
UCCAACCUGGCUCAGACAGUAGAGAAUCUGCCUGCAAUGCAGGACACCCAGGUUCGAUCCCUGGGUUGGGG